CCUGGCGGCGUGCCUAUACAUGCAAGUCGCACGCACCGGNUUUACCGGUGAGUGGCGAACGGGUGAGUAACACGUGGGCAACCUGCCCCCAAGACGAGGAUAACCGCUGGAAACGGCGGCUAAGACUGGAUAGGACCAAGGAAGGCAUCUUCCCUGGUUUAAAAGACCUUCGGGUAUGCUUGGGGAGGGGCCCGCGGCGCAUUAGCUAGUUGGUGGGGUAAAAGCCUACCGAGGCGAUGAUGCGUAGCCGGACUGAGAGGUUGGACGGCCACACUGGGACUGAGAGACGGCCCAGACUCCUACGGGAGGCAGCAGUAGGGAAUUUUCGGCAAUGGGGGAAACCCUGACCGAGCAACGCCGCGUGAACGAAGAAGUAUUUCGGUAUGUAAAGUUCUUUUAUCAGGGAAGAAAGGCACGUGGAAAAGCGUGAUUGACGGUACCUGAUGAAUAAGCCCCAGAAGGAUAAUAUUUUUUUGGAGUCGAUAUUAGCAUACGAAUAAGCCACGGCUAACUCCGUGCCAGCAGCCGCGGUAACACGGGGGUGGCGAGCGUUGUCCGGAAUUACUAGGCGUAAAGAGCAAUAAGGCGGAGAUAUAAGUCAGAUGUAAAAGGCACCGGCUUAACCGGUGUGAGGCAUUUGAUACUAUAUUUCUGGAGUAAGGUGGAGGGAGACGGAAUUCCUGGUGUAGCGGUGGAAUGCGUAGAUAUCAGGAAGAACACCAAAGGCGCAGGCAGUUUUCCAUACCAUUACUGACGCUGUAUUGCGAAGGUGUGGGUAUCGAA
rnacentral:rRNA from 1 species